rnacentral:rRNA from 1 species
CCUACGGGAGGCAGCAGUGGGGAAUAUUGCACAAUGGGGGGAACCCUGAUGCAGCGACGCCGCGUGGGUGAAGGAGUGCUUCGGCAUGUAAAGCCCUAUCGGCAGGGAAGAAGCAAGACGGUACCUGACUAAGAAGCCCCGGCUAACUACGUGCCAGCAGCCGCGGUAAUACGUAGGGGGCGAGCGUUAUCCGGAUUCACUGGGUGUAAAGGGAGCGUAGACGGCUUUGCAAGCCUGAGGUGAAAGCCCAGGGCUCAACCCGGGGACUGCAUUGGAAACUGUGGGGCUGGAGUGCGGGAGGGGCAGGCGGAAUUCCUGGUGUAGCGGUGAAAUGCGUAGAUAUUAGGAGGAACACCGGUGGCGAAGGCGGCUUGCUGGACCGCGACUGACGUUGAGGCUCGAAAGCGUGGGGAGCGAACAGGAUUAGAUACCCGGGUAGUC